rnacentral:rRNA from 1 species
UAGGAUAGAGCCCUCCCAUGGUGGUGACGGGUGAGGGAGAAUUAGGGUUCGAUUCCGGAGAGGGAGCCUGAGAAACGGCUACCACAUCCAAGGAAGGCAGCAGGCGCGCAAAUUACCCAAUCCCGACACGGGGAGGUAGUGACAAUAAAUAACAAUACGGGGCUCAUUUGGGUCGGGUAAUGGGAAUGAGUACAAUUUAAUUCCCUUAACGGGGAACAAUGGGAGGGCAAGUCGGGUGCCAGCAGCCGCGGUAAUUCCAGCUCCAAUAGCGUAUAUUAAAGUUGUUGCAGUUAAAAAGCUCGUAGUUGAAUUUCGGGAUCAAUAUGUGGGUCGUGCCUCGGUACGUACUGGCGUAAUUGGUUUCUCCCUUCUGAAGAACCUUGAUGUCAUUAAUUUGGGGUCGGGGGGAAUCAGGACUGUUACUUUGAAAAAAUUAGAGUGUUUAAAGCAGGCAAACGCUUGAAUACAUUAGCAUGGAAUAAUGAAAUAGGACGUUUGAUCUUAUUUUGUUGGUUUCUAAGAUCGACGUAAUGAUUAAUAGGGACUGUCGGGGGCAUUCGUAUUCCAUUGGCAGAGGUGAAAUUCUUGGAUUUAUGGAAGACGAACCACUGCGAAAGCAUUUGCCAAGGAUGUUUUCAUUAAUCAAGAACGAAAGUUGGGGGCUAGAAGACGAUCAGAUACCGUCCUAGUCUCACCCAUAAACGAUGCCGACCAGGGAUCGAGAGUGGACUAUGACUCGCCGACGUCUGGAG